AGCGAACGCUGGCGGCAGGCUUAACACAUGCAAGUCGAGCGGGCAUCCUUGUGGUGUCAGCGGCAGACGGGUGAGUAACGCGUGGGAACGUGCCCUUCGGUUCGGAAUAACUCAGGGAAACUUGAGCUAAUACCGGAUACGUGCGAGAGCAGAAAGGCUUAUCUGCCGAAGGAUCGGCCCGCGUCUGAUUAGCUAGUUGGUGAGGUUAUGGCUCACCAAGGCGACGAUCAGUAGCUGGUCUGAGAGGAUGAUCAGCCACACUGGGACUGAGACACGGCCCAGACUCCUACGGGAGGCAGCAGUGGGGAAUAUUGGACAAUGGGGGCAACCCUGAUCCAGCCAUGCCGCGUGAGUGAUGACGGCCUUAGGGUUGUAAAACUCUUUUCUCCGGGACGAUAAUGACGGUACCGGAGGAAUAAGCCCCGGCUAACUUCGUG
rnacentral:rRNA from 1 species